AAUAACAUCAUUAAUAACCUGUAAAUAAUCAAAUUUGUACACAUUACGUUCCUCUUCACUUUGUAAUAGUAUGUUUUUGGUUUAAUAGUCGGCUUUUAGUUAGUUUUUCUGUCAGUUUGAUCGUCAAAAUCUUGAAAGUUAUCUACAGCCACACAUCCACUGUAUACCAAGUUAUGAUGAUCAAUUAUGAGAAUGCAAAAGGAUUGAUAGAUCAGUAAACAAACAACAAAAAGAUGGGUGCUCAUGGUGGCCUCCGAAUAAAUACAUGGACAGGCUGCUAAAGAGGGUCAGGAUGAUGGAGAUGCAAGAGUCAAAGACAGCACAGACCAAACACCAGGCCAGAAUUCUGCAUGAGUCAGUUUCCAGCCUUUUUCACAAAGUUGCCGACAACUGGAAGAAUGUCCCAAAUUGCUGAAAAAAGAAAUUCAAUUGAGUAAUUUUCACUCUAGAGACCCUGGGGUGACCACCAAGGACGAAUGCAAA